CACAGUAUGCCUAGGGGGCACAAACCAGUGCAGAGGGGGUGAAACAGAGGAAAUUCACUUUUUUCUCAAGCUGAAGCCACACACCAUAGGCCAACAAUUCCUCUUGGACCACAAAGGAGGGUACACCUCAGGCUAUGAUCUGAUGAGAGACACAUGAGGAGUCUCAGAGGAGACCUUAUUGCUUUCUCCAGCUACCUGAGAGGAAGUGGUUGGGAGCUGGGGGUUGGCCUCUUCUCACAGUCAUAAUCAGGAGUGCAUCUAUGCGUGCUUUGAGUGAAAAGGAUACAGAACACAUCUUAUCUUGCAGGGAGAUAAGGACCUCCAGUAAAGGGAUUCCUUCAUCAUCAAUGGGACAACACUAUCUGGGACACCCAAAAAGCCUGAAGGAAACUAUCAGCCCUUUAAAUGUGAAUAAGACUGAAAAUAUGAAGCAAGCAUCCUCAAAACGUGGGGAAAAAAAUGUGUCAGAAUGAAAAACAAAAAUUCCAAAAUUUCACUUACAAGAUCAUUUUUUUAAGCCUGGACACCCAAGGCUGGCCAUAACAGUGCAGAUAUGUAUACCCAUGGAGUGGGCAAAAGUCUGUCCAUAUCA